rnacentral:rRNA from 1 species
GAUCAUGGCUCAGAACGAACGCUGGCGGCACGCUUAACACAUGCAAGUCGAACGGUGUAAUGAAGCUUGCUUUAUUACAUAGUGGCGGACGGGUGAGUAACACGUGGAGACCUGACUAGAGGAGGUGGAUAGCUCCGGGAAACUGGAGGUAAUACAGCAUAAGCUCGAGAGAGGAAAGGGGAAACCCACCUUUAGAGGGAUCUGCGGCUGAUUAGGUAGUUGGUGGGGUAAAGGCCUACCAAGCCGACGAUCAGUAGCUGGUCUGACGAGGAUGAUCAGCCACACUGGAACUGAGAUACGGUCCAGACUCCUACGGGAGGCAGCAGUGGGGAAUAUUGGACAAUGGGGGGAACCCUGAUCCCAGCGAUGCCGCGUGAGUGAAGAAGGCCUUAGGGUUGUAAAGCUCUUUUGACGGGGACGAUGAUGACGGUACCCGUAGAAUAAGCACCGGCUAACUCUGUGCCAGCCGCCGC